rnacentral:misc_RNA from 1 species
GAAAGCAUAGGAUUGGAGAAUUUGAUAAAAUGGUUUUUGGAUGAGAUAAAUCUGAAUAAACCUUUCACAUCCAGAAGCCGCACCCCUUUUGGGGAAGUCACAAUCCUGGUAUAUAUGUUCUUUACUUUAAUGCUGAGAAACUGGCACCAACCGGGAACCGAUGGCUCUGCAACUAAAUCUGGUGGUGCGGUGACUGAAGCGCAUGACAAAACUGCUUUACAUAUCUCAACUCCUACUUGUGUUACUGCUUCAUCUACCUUAGAUGGUCAAGAGAAAAUAGACUUCAUCUCUCAUUUACUCCAUGCUUGUGGCAAUCUUAGGCAGCAAGCAUUUGUCAAUUAUCU